AAAUUAAAUUAUUUCUAAUUUUUAUUUAUUUAUAAGUUUAAAUUAUAUAUAUGUUUUUUUUGUUUUAAAAAAUUUAAUAUUUAAAUAAUUAAUUUAAUUUAUAAAAUUUUAAUAAUUAAUUUUUAUUUUAAAUUAAAUAAAUUUAAAAUAAGUAAUAUUUUAAUAAUUAUUAAUUAAAAUUGUGCCAGCAAUUGCGGUUAUACAAUUAAUAAAAAAUAAAUAUUUUUAAAUAUAAUUUAAAAUGUCAAAUAAUAAAUUUAAAAAAUUAAAUUUAAUUAGUAAAAUAAUAAAAUUUAUAAUAAAAAUUAAUUUAUUUAAGUUAAUAUUUUAAAAUUAAAAAAUUUUUUUAAGACUAGGAUUAGAUACCCUAUUAUAUAAAUUAAUAAUAAAUUAAAUUUAAUUAGUAAAAUUAUUGAAAAUUAAAGAAUUUGACGGUAUUUAAAUCAUUUUAGAGGAAUUUGUAUAAUAAUUGAUAAUCCACAAUUUAUUAAACUUAUUUUUAAAAUUUUGUAUAUCGUUGUUAUAAAAAUAUUUUUUAUAAAUUUAUUAAUAUUUAAAAUUUUAAAUUUAAAAUUAUAUCAAAUCAUGAUACAAAUUAUAUAAAUAAGAAAAAUAUGAAUUACAAUAAUAAUUUAAUAAUUAUAAUUUUUUUUAUGAAAUAAAAAAAUUUAAAUUGGAUUUAAUUGUAAUUAAAAACAUUUAUUUUUAAUGAUUAAAGUUUUUAAAUAUGUACAUAUUGCCCGUCGCUCUUAUUAUAUUAUAAAAUUAAUUAAGAUAAGUCGUAACAAAGUAGAAAUAUUGGAAAAUGUUUCUAGAAUUAUA
rnacentral:ncRNA from 2 species